GUUGCUUCAUAAUGGUGAACUCUCCCUUGAUUGAUAGUGGGAGACGUUCAAGUUUCCGAAGCAUAGAUUGAUCGUACUCUUUGUGCCAGUUUUAAACAGCGAGGUGUAUGCUUUCUGGUCGCACUCUGCUACCUGUCUACUGGUAUAUUU